rnacentral:rRNA from 2 species
UUGGACCUGAUAUCAGACAAGANNNNNCGCUGAACUUAAGCAUAUCAAUAAGCGGAGGAAAAGAAACUAACAAGGAUUCCCCUAGUAACGGCGAGUGAAGCGGGAUGAGCUCAAGCUUAAAAUCUCUGUGCAAGUUUUGCAUGGCGAAUUGUAGUCUAUAGAGGCGAUGUCAGUGCAGCUAUUUGGGGUAAGUUCCUUGGAAGAGGACAGCAUCGAGGGUGAUACUCCCGUUUGUACCCGAGUAGCUUGUGCGUACGACACGUUUUCUUUGAGUCGCGUUGUUUGGGAAUGCAGCGCAAAGUAGGUGGUAAAUUCCAUCUAAAGCUAAAUAUUGGUGCGAGACCGAUAGCGAACAAGUACCGUGAGGGAAAGAUGAAAAGAACUUUGAAAAGAGAGUUAAAGAGUACCUGAAACUGCUGAAAGGGAAUCGAAUCGUUUCCAGUGUCUAUAAUCCAAUGCAUAUUUCAUUGUGGACUUGUUGCGUGCAGUGCGUAGGAAGUAGUUUAUUCUGCUCCUUGUAUUGUUGUGCGAUGUGUUGAUGGUGCCCUGUGUGUUGGUGGGACGUCAGAGUCAGUUCGUAUGCUGCGGGAAAUGGCUGUCGAGGAGGUAGGCUGAGCGCUUGCGUUUAGCUGUUAUAUCUUGGCGUGCUAGUGGUCGUGGUUGGGACUGAGGUGCCUACAACGUGCUUUAAAGUCUUGUGGGGUCUCAUGUGAUAACGUGCUAGGAUAGCUUGCUAUGUUGGUGUGUUUAUUGUGUGAUUGAUGCUGUUUGUAACUUUUGCCGUUCGGGACUUUGACGAAAUGGAGCGAUUCGGCCCGUCUUGAAACACGGACCAAGGAGUCUAACAUGUGUGCAAGUGUUAGGGUGUGGAAACCCCAGCGCGAAAUGAAAGUAAAGGGUAGCGUUCGCUGCCUGAGGUAGGAAACCUUUGUUCUCAGAGGUGGCACUAUCGACCGAUCAUGAACCUUCGUGGUGAAAGAUUUGAGUAUGAGCACAUAUGUUGGUACCCGAAAGAUGGUGAACUAUGCCUGAGUAGGGUGAAGCCAGGGGAAACUCUGGUGGAAGCUCGUAGCGAUUCUGACGUGCAAAUCGAUCGUCAAACUUGGGUAUAGGGGCGAAAGACUAAUCGAACCAUCUAGUAGCUGGUUCCCUCCGAAAUUUCCCUCAGGAUAGCAGCAACUUAUUUACGAUAGUUUUAUGAGGUAAAGCGAAUGAUUAGAGGACUCGGGGAAGAAACUUCCUUGACCUAUUCUCAAACUUUAAAUCUGUAAGACCUGCAGGUUUCUUAAUUGAACUUGUGGAUGUGAAUAUCAAGUUGCUAGUGGGCCAUACGGGGUAAGCUCGUCUGGCGAUGCGGGAUGAACCGAACGCAAAGUUAAAGUGCCAAAAUACCCGCUCACCUAGAUACCAUAAAAGGUGUUGGUUCAUUUAGACAGCAGGACGGUGGCCAUGGAAGUCGGAAUCCGCUAAGGAGUGUGUAACAAC